CCUACGGGAGGCAGCAGUGGGGAAUAUUGGACAAUGGGGGAAACCCUGAUCCAGCAAUGCCGCGUGAGUGAUGAAGGCCUUAGGGUCGUAAAGCUCUUUUACCAGGGAUGAUAAUGACAGUACCUGGAGAAUAAGCUCCGGCUAACUCCGUGCCAGCAGCCGCGGUAAUACGGAGGGAGCUAGCGUUGUUCGGAAUUACUGGGCGUAAAGCGUGCGUAGGCGGUUAUUCAAGUCAGAGGUGAAAGCCCGGGGCUCAACCCCGGAACGGCCUUUGAAACUAGAUAACUAGAAUCUUGGAGAGGUCAGUGGAAUUCCGAGUGUAGAGGUGAAAUUCGUAGAUAUUCGGAAGAACACCAGUGGCGAAGGCGACUGACUGGACAAGUAUUGACGCUGAGGUACGAAAGCGUGGGGAGCAAACAGGAUUAGAUACCCUGGUAGUCCACGCCGUAAACGAUGAUAACUAGCUGUCCGGACACUUGGUGUUUGGGUGGCGCAGCUAACGCAUUAAGUUAUCCGCCUGGGGAGUACGGUCGCAAGAUUAAAACUCAAAGAGUAGUGGACGUGNGAAGUAGUCGACGACGACGACGAGGAGGAGGAG
rnacentral:rRNA from 1 species